UGAGCACAGUCAGUAUCACAGGACAGGGCUUAUGGCCCUCCUUCCCCUCCAUGUACAAUGGGACUCUGUCUUUGAGCCUCCCUCCUCCCCACCAGGUUCCAUCGUCAUUGUCACUCUUUGCUCUUUCCAGUGCCCAGUCUGCCUUGGUUUAGGGGAAGAGUUCUUGCUCUCUGUCCCUGUUGCCCUCAUAGGCUUUCCAAAAUGGAAGCUAACCUGUUUUGGGGAGGGAGGAGGAAAGCACAGAAGAGACUCAUUGGUAAUCUUUGCCACAACCAUGUCCAUCCUCUGUCUCCUCAGGCCCCUCCUAGUCUCCAGGGACAAGGAACUUGGCUGAAACCUCUUUCUUGGGACCCAGACUGUCCAGGAUGAGGGUCAGCUAUGAGGAGAGGGCACAGACGGGAAGAUUCACCUUCAGGAGGGCGCUGGAGGGGCAGUAAGCCACCAGCCUCGCACAGCCUCUGGGGAGCAGGAUCACAUCAGGGCAGGGCUGCACUUGCCCUCCCGGGGAAAUACAGAAAAGCUAGAGCUGCACCUUCUCCAUGAUGGUCUGUUUUCUUUUUCAAUUGAGGUGAAAUUCUCCUAACAUACACUUGAGCAUUUUAAAAUGUACGGUAGUGCAUGCACAAUGCUUCCUGUGAAUAAACUUUCUUUAGUUUUGAAACUUUGGGCGCUGGCCGGGUAGCUCAGUUGUCCUCAUAUGCCAGGGUUGCGGGGGGGCUGGGGGGGUUUCGAUCCCAGUCAGAGCAAAUGAAUGCAGAACCAGCUAAUGAAUGCAUAAACAAGUGGAA